rfam:Gossypium raimondii Chr09_contig_659, whole genome shotgun sequence.
UGUUAAAAAUUUUAUCCAUUUGUACUGUUAAAAAUUGAUAUGAUUGAUAAAAUAACCGAAUAAUGACAUGUGACAUACCAUAUAUACCUCAUGUUGAUAUACUAGGACCAAUUUUUAAUAAUUUAAAUGGAUAAAAAUUUUAACA